rnacentral:rRNA from 1 species
GUCGUUAACGAACGAGACCUCGACCUGCUAAAUAGUUCGACAAAGGAUUCUUCCUUUGGACGUGACUUCUUAGAGGGACUAUCGGUGUGUAGCCGAUGGAAGUUCGAGGCAAUAACAGGUCUGUGAUGCCCUUAGAUGUUCUGGGCCGCACGCGCGCUACACUGAUACGUUCAUCGAGCUUACAACCUUGACUGAGAGGCCUGGGUAAUCUUUUUAAAGCGUAUCGUGAUGGGGAUAGAUUAUUGUAAUUUUUAGUCUUCAACGAGGAAUUCCUAGUAAACGCGAUUCAUCAAAUCGCAUUGAUUACGUCCCUGCCCUUUGUACACACCGCCCGUCGCUAUUACCGAUUGAAUGGUUA